UGCUUCAGCCUGCAGGGCAGGGAUGAGGUGAGCAAGCCAGACUGCAGCGAGCUGACCCCCGGGGACAGGAGCCGCAGCCAGACAGAUGCGGGGCUGUGGGGAGACGGACACCAUCACUGCCAGGUCAGGCGGGCCAGGAGCACAGGGCAGAGCAGGUGCCUGAACACCCCCAACACGCUCCCCUUGAUCAGCCAAACCCAUCAGCAACCGGAUCAAGUGGGCUCCAAGACUCCCAUCAGACAGGCUCUGGGGGAAGCAGCACUGGGUCUCCGAGGACCUGGCCCUGAGCGGAGGCUGCCGUCAUCUGUGGAACCUGAUGCUGAAGCUGGCGUCCUGCAAGGAGGCCCCAGAGCCUGGGACACCAUCUGGCAGAGAGUGCAAAUAUUCCCCCACACGCCAUAAAGUGCUCCCUUUGAGGACAUCUGUUGGGAGAGACCACCAGUCGUCAGAGAGCACCUGAGUGCAUCUCAUCCAUCAUCACAGUGCUCCUUGAAGGCACCGAUGGCAGCAGUCCCUUCGUGUGCAAUGGAAGGGGGUA
rnacentral:lncRNA from 1 species